AGAAGAAUUAGUAUACCGGCCGUGUAAAAGUAGGCGCUUCGCCGCGACCGAAUCGGCGGCGAGAGCGAGGAAAAUGAUAAAGGGUGGAUAUGUAGCCUACUUGGCGAGAAUGACUGAAGCCCAAAAGGAGUAUCCGGAACUUGAAGGUAUUCGGGUUGUAUGCGAGUAUCUGGAUGUGUUUCCGGCGGAGUUACCGGGAUUGCCACCGGACUGGGAAGUCGAGUUCG
rnacentral:lncRNA from 1 species